rnacentral:rRNA from 1 species
UACGUAGGGGGCAAGCGUUGUCCGGAUUUAUUGGGCGUAAAGAGCGUGUAGGCGGUUUGGUAGGUCCGCUGUGAAAACUCGAGGCUCAACCUCGAGACGCCGGUGGAAACCAUCAGACUAGAGUCCGGAAGAGGAGAGUGGAAUUCCUGGUGUAGCGGUGAAAUGCGCAGAUAUCAGGAGGAACACCGGUGGCGAAGGCGGGUCGUCUGGG